CAGGCCGAGGGUGUCACGCAGCUCCCGGUCCGCCCCUCCCCGGCUCCAACCCCGCACGCCGGGGCCGGGCUGCCCGGAUAGCCGCAGGACUCGGGGAGAGCUCUGCCCUCACCGCAGAUCCCUGCGUGUGUUUUGCUGUCGUUGGCAAACUUUAUGUAAGUUCGGAGUGAAGAAGAAGAAAGGGUUAAAAAUAAAGAAAAUGACGGCUCCGCUCCAUCCCCUCUUAGUGCGCAGCCCUCACAGGAGUCCCCGCAGAAGUCUGUGGAUUCCCAGCUUGCACAGGUGCACUGUUGUCUCACAAUCAGCUUGAAAAUCCUUCUCUGCAGAAAUGCUUUCUUGCUGGUCAUCCUCCAUGGCGUACUGGUACUGGGGGGUUAUUCCUCCCCAGAUGCAGGAGCUGGCAUUUCCCUUUGUUCAACUUCAUGUACAUCCAGUUAUUUAGCCUAUUCAAUUUGUUCUAAGUUUACAUGGAUUCUAUGAUUCUAUGAUACAUUCAG
rnacentral:lncRNA from 1 species